UAUAUAAUUCAUACCAAAAAAGCUGAUCUGAAAUUCCAGUGCUUACUUGAAUUAUUUAAUCUUCAGUUCCACUCACAACAGAAGUGUCCGUUUGCACAUAGAAAUGAGAGAGUUAAACUUAAUAAGAAGGUAAUUUGUAUUCCCUAAUGGAGAGUAUGAGGUCACUGUGUGAAUGAACAUUUAUCAAAGAGAAGAUGAACUUAAAUAAAACUACAUCUUUAUUGCCUCAAGGUUAGUGUUUUGAAUUAUAUCUGUUCUGUGUAUGACUUAGGCUGCAAUCUCCUUGAAAGAGGAGCACCCAGUGCUCUCUUAGUGUUGGUACAGAAGAGCACUCCAGGAUACCUGAUAGACAUGAUUGCUAAUCACAUAAUUGUUCGGGGUGUUGCCUUGACAGAAACUUAAUCCUAAUAAUGUUUUCCCCCAAAAAGGUUUGAUAUAGCUUUGGAUAAGUACAGCAGUGAAAACCUGGUAAGAAAAGGCAAAAUGCAUUUCUUGAAGGCUUGUUUUAUAUAUGACUCAUAGGGCAAACAGAAACCCUCAGUUUACAAAACUGCAAAUUUAUCUUCACCCCACAUAUCAGGUCUGUUUACCAAAAUCUGUUGCUGCUUAAUAAAUUACUCAUGUGUUUCAGACUGCCUCUCGUCAUCGAUUUUAGCUCUAGUUACCUUUGAGUGUUCUGCUAUUUCCUGGUUUGUUCCUUCAUUAAUAUUGCCUUCUCAAUCCAUGGUAGGCACAGUUUCUAAAGAUAAAUUGUUUUCAACCCUUGAAGGUGGUAACACUGUGACAGCUUUAUGCUCUCUACAUACAAGCAAAAGCACUCAUGGCAGAGACAACAAUUCACUGCUUAAAUGAAACAGCUACCAGCAAAGAAUAAAAGGCUUUACAGAAAGACUUCAGUUCUACGUUGACCUCGUCCUGGCAACAAUCCCAGCAUCUGACAGUUAAUUUCAACAAAUUAGAGACAAAUAACUAAUGGAAUAGACUUGCCAAAAACCUACCUAACUUUGCCAAAAAAGAGAGAUAUCAGUGAUGUCAGCAUCUAAAAACACUAUUAUUGCACUGGAUAGAUUGAAUGGAC